GCGGGGGCGCGAGGGACCCUCAGGGUGGUGCCCAAACCCCCAAAACCCCCAAAAUCCCCCAAAAUCUCCCAAAUCCCCGUCCUGCGGCCAUUCCUCCUCCGCGGCUGCACGGGCAGAGCCAAGAGCCUGGGCCCAGCCGGGCCCGCGGUGCCUCCCUGGCUCCCGGCCCCAAGGAAAGCGCAGGUCUGGGGCAGCGCUCCCGGCCCGGCCCCAGCGCGGGGAUCCCCCUCAGGCACCGCGGGCACCUCCGGCAGCGCCAGCAGCGACACGGGGUGCGGCCUCAUUCUCCUCUCGCGUUCAGGGCUGGAAUCAGCUGCUGGUGCCCGGGCAGAGGCCGUGCUGCCCAUUGCCCCGCCGGUGACAAGCGGAGAAAGUGACACGACAGCUUCUCUCUGUCACAGACAGAAAGCUCAUCACAGCCAUUCCUGUUUUUACCUCGGGUAUGAAAGCUGGUAUUAAUCCUAAAGAUGCAAUAGUUGCUACAGUAAGGUAGGGGGGAAAAAAGCCAAUUCAAACUCUUUUAGUGAAAUAUGGCUCAAAGAGGAAGUGGCUGCUUUGAAUCAACCCAUUUUGGUGAGGAUGGCUCAGACUGCUCACAAAAUCAAACCCAAAGGCAAAACCUGGACCAGCCGCAAGUUCCAAAGAAUGACUAAUUUCUCAUGAAGCUUUAAUGAUAGCUUUGAGCACAAAAGAACAGAAAAUUUCAGAAGUGAUUAGCAGCACUACUGAUUGUACAUAAAGUGCAGAAACUCUCUUAGCAUGAACAUUUUUCCUUCAUUUCAACACCAUGCUGAACGUGACAUCAACAUGACUGGAAGGAAAGCUGGGAUGGAGAGGCCAUGGGGCCCAUGCUGGUGAGGAGGAGGGCCUGGAGGGGAGUGCAAACUGUGCUUCCCUUGAAGGGGACAAUGAGGACCAGCAUUAGGACCUGGGAGAUGGUGAUGCCCCAGACUUCUGUAUUGGGGAGCCUCCCAGAUUUGUCUUUUUUUUUUACUGCCA